CGGGACGGGUGGGUAACGCGUGGGUAACCUGCCUUGUACAGGGGGAUAACAGUUGGAAACGGCUGCUAAUACCGCAUAAGCGCACGGCAUCGCAUGAUGCAGUGUGAAAAACUCCGGUGGUAUAAGAUGGACCCGCGUUGGAUUAGCUAGUUGGUGAGGUAACGGCCCACCAAGGCGACGAUCCAUAGCCGACCUGAGAGGGUGACCGGCCACAUUGGGACUGAGACACGGCCCAA
rnacentral:rRNA from 1 species